rnacentral:rRNA from 1 species
GUAAGGGCGCGCAGGCGGUCUUGUCCGUCAGGUGUGAAAGCUCGGGGCUCAACCCCGGAAGUGCACUUGAAACAGCAAGACUUGAAUACGGGAGAGGAAAGCGGAAUUCCUGGUGUAGAGGUGAAAUUCGUAGAUAUCAGGAGGAACACCGAUGGCGAAGGCAGCUUUCUGGACCGAUAUUGACGCUGAGGCGCGAAGGCGUGGGUAGCGAACGGGAUUAGAUACCCCGGUAGUCCACGCAGUAAACGUUGUACACUCGGUGUGGCGGAUAUUAAAAUCUGCUGUGCCUAAGCUAACGCAUUAAGUGUACCGCCUGGGAAGUACGGUCGCAAGACUAAAACUCAAAGGAAUUGACGGGGGCCCGCACAAGCGGUGGAGCAUGUGGUUUAAUUCGACGCAACGCGAAGAACCUUACCUGGGUUUGACAUCCUGUGAAUAUCCCGUAAUUGGGAUAGUGCCUUCGGGAGCACAGAGACAGGUGCUGCAUGGCUGUCGUCAGUUCGUGUCGUGAGAUGUUUGGUUAAGUCCAGCAACGAGCGCAACCCUUAUCGUCAGUUGCCGGCACGUAAUGGUGGGAACUCUGGCGAGACUGCCCCGGUCAACGGGGAGGAAGGUGGGGAUGACGUCAAGUCCUCAUGGCCCUUAUAUCCAGGGCUACACACGUGCUACAAUGGUAGGUACAAAGGGCAGCGACUCUGCAAAGGGAAGCGAAUCCCAAAAGCCUAUCCCAGUCCGGAUUGGGGUCUGCAACUCGACCUCCAUGAAGUUGGAAUCGCUAGUAAUCGCGGAUCAGCAUGCGCGGUGAAUAUGUU